UGGGGGAUAUUGCACAAUGGGCGAAAGCCUGAUGCAGCGACGCCGCGUGGGGGAUGAAGGCCCUCGGGUUGUAAACUUCUUUUGCUCUGAACAAGGCAUGCCUUUGGGGUGUGUUGAGUGUAGGGGUUGAUUAGCGCCGGCUAACUACGUGCCAGCAGCCGCGGUAAUACGUAGGGCGCGAGCGUUGUCCGGAAUUAUUGGGCGUAAAGGGCUUGUAGGUGGCUGGUUGCGUCUGUCGUGAAAGCUCAUGGCUUAACUGUGGGUUUGCGGGGGGUACGGGCUGGCUUGAGUGCAGUAGGGGAGGCUGGAAUUCCUGGUGUAGCGGUGGAAUGCGCAGAUAUCAGGAGGAAUACCGGUGGCGAAGGCGGGUCUCUGGGCUGUUACUGACGCUGAGGAGCGAAAGCGUGGGGAGCGAACAGG
rnacentral:rRNA from 1 species